AGUGAACGCUGGCGGUAGGCCUAACACAUGCAAGUCGAACGGCAGCACAGUAAGAGCUUGCUCUUACGGGUGGCGAGUGGCGGACGGGUGAGGAAUACAUCGGAAUCUACUUUUUCGUGGGGGAUAACGUAGGGAAACUUACGCUAAUACCGCAUACGACCUACGGGUGAAAGCAGGGGAUCUUCGGACCUUGCGCGAUUGAAUGAGCCGAUGUCGGAUUAGCUAGUUGGCGGGGUAAAGGCCCACCAAGGCGACGAUCCGUAGCUGGUCUGAGAGGAUGAUCGGCAACAUGGGAACUGAGACACGGUCCAGACUCCUACGGGAGGCAGCGGUGGGAAAUAUUGGACAAUGGGCGCAAGCCUGAUCCAGCCAUACCGCGUGGGUGAAGAAGGCCUUCGGGUUGUAAAGCCCUUUUGUUGGGAAAGAAAAGCAGCAGGUUAAUACCCCGCUGUUCUGACGGUACCAAAAGAAUAAGCACCGGCUAACUUCGU
rnacentral:rRNA from 1 species